rnacentral:rRNA from 1 species
GGGGGGACCAUCCUCCAAGGCUAAAUACUCCUGACUGACCGAUAGUGAACCAGUACCGUGAGGGAAAGGCGAAAAGAACCCCGGCGAGGGGAGUGAAAAAGAACCUGAAACCGUGUACGUACAAGCAGUGGGAGCACAGAGCAAUCUGUGUGACUGCGUACCUUUUGUAUAAUGGGUCAGCGACUUAUAUUCUGUAGCAAGGUUAACCGAAUAGGGGAGCCGAAGGGAAACCGAGUCUUAACUGGGCGUUAAGUUGCAGGGUAUAGACCCGAAACCCGGUGAUCUAGCCAUGGGCAGGUUGAAGGUUGGGUAACACUAACUGGAGGACCGAACCGACUAAUGUUGAAAAAUUAGCGGAUGACUUGUGGCUGGGGGUGAAAGGCCAAUCAAACCGGGAGAUAGCUGGUUCUCCCCGAAAGCUAUUUAGGUAGCGCCUCGUGAAUUCAUCUCCGGGGGUAGAGCACUGUUUCGGCAAGGGGGUCAUCCCGACUUACCAACCCGAUGCAAACUGCGAAUACCGGAGAAUGUUAUCACGGGAGACACACGGCGGGUGCUAACGUCCGUCGUGAAGAGGGAAACAACCCAGACCGCCAGCUAAGGUCCCAAAGUCAUGGUUAAGUGGGAAACGAUGUGGGAAGGCCCAGACAGCCAGGAUGUUGGCUUAGAAGCAGCCAUCAUUUAAAGAAAGCGUAAUAGCUCACUGGUCGAGUCGGCCUGCGCGGAAGAUGUAACGGGGCUAAACCAUGCACCGAAGCUGCGGCAGCGACGCUUAUGCGUUGUUGGGUAGGGGAGCGUUCUGUAAGCCUGCGAAGGUGUGCUGUGAGGCAUGCUGGAGGUAUCAGAAGUGCGAAUGCUGACAUAAGUAACGAUAAAGCGGGUGAAAAGCCCGCUCGCCGGAAGACCAAGGGUUCCUGUCCAACGUUAAUCGGGGCAGGGUGAGUCGACCCCUAAGGCGAGGCCGAAAGGCGUAGUCGAUGGGAAACAGGUUAAUAUUCCUGUACUUGGUGUUACUGCGAAGGGGGGACGGAGAAGGCUAUGUUGGCCGGGCGACGGUUGUCCCGGUUUAAGCGUGUAGGCUGGUUUUCCAGGCAAAUCCGGAAAAUCAAGGCUGAGGCGUGAUGACGAGGCACUACGGUGCUGAAGCAACAAAUGCCCUGCUUCCAGGAAAAGCCUCUAAGCAUCAGGUAACAUCAAAUCGUACCCCAAACCGACACAGGUGGUCAGGUAGAGAAUACCAAGGCGCUUGAGAGAACUCGGGUGAAGGAACUAGGCAAAAUGGUGCCGUAACUUCGGGAGAAGGCACGCUGAUAUGUAGGUGAAGUCCCUCGCGGAUGGAGCUGAAAUCAGUCGAAGAUACCAGCUGGCUGCAACUGUUUAUUAAAAACACAGCACUGUGCAAACACGAAAGUGGACGUAUACGGUGUGACGCCUGCCCGGUGCCGGAAGGUUAAUUGAUGGGGU